GCACAAUGAGGGACGUCUGCAGAGACUGAGAAAGAGUCUCACCACAUCCUGACAUGAGGAAAAAGACUUUAUUGAAGACUACAAUGAGAAAAACUAUCAGACAGCAGACGGCUGCAUUCAAGCUGCUGAAUUCAUGGAUGAAUCAUCUGGCACUAGAGAGGAAGACCAUCAAACAUCCACGUCAGCUGAUGGAGGUCCAAGAGUCUCACCAAACAAACAACCUACAGAGUGAAGACCUCAAAUCUGAUUGGACGGCCUCCUAUUGAGCCACGUGUGAACAAAUGCCUCUAAGUUGAUUUGUUUUCUAAAAUAAAUCUAGUUUGAG
ensembl:lncRNA